rnacentral:rRNA from 1 species
AUUGAACGCUGGCGGCAGGCCUAACACAUGCAAGUCGAACGGUAACAGGAAGAAGCUUGCUUCUUUGCUGACGAGUGGCGGACGGGUGAGUAAUGUCUGGGAAACUGCCUGAUGGAGGGGGAUAACUACUGGAAACGGUAGCUAAUACCGCAUAACGUCGCAAGACCAAAGAGGGGGACCUUCGGGCCUCUUGCCAUCGGAUGUGCCCAGAUGGGAUUAGCUUGUUGGUGGGGUAACGGCUCACCAAGGCGACGAUCCCUAGCUGGUCUGAGAGGAUGACCAGCCACACUGGAACUGAGACACGGUCCAGACUCCUACGGGAGGCAGCAGUGGGGAAUAUUGCACAAUGGGCGCAAGCCUGAUGCAGCCAUGCCGCGUGUAUGAAGAAGGCCUUCGGGUUGUAAAGUACUUUCAGCGGGGAGGAAGGGAGUAAAGUUAAUACCUUUGCUCAUUGACGUUACCCGCAGAAGAAGCACCGGCUAACUACGUG